CUUUUUUUAUUUGAUAAAAAAUAAACUCUGCUCAAUGAAUAAACUUUCAAUAGCCGCAGUAUUUUGACUGUGCUAAGGUAGCAUAGUAAUUUGUCUUUUAACUGAAGGCUAGAAUGAAAGAGCGGACGCCACAAAAGCUUUCUUAAUUUUAAUUACCUUAAAAAUUAAUAUCUCUGUCAAAAAGCAGAGCUUUUUAAAGGGACGAUAAGACCCUAUAAAACUUUUUUGACUAAUGCCGCCAAAAAAAAGAAGGAAUUACGACAGAGUCAAAUUAAGCUGGGGCGGCAAUUAAAAAUACAUUAACAAAUAAAACAAAAAUUUUUGAAACAAAGGAACUUAUAACAAAAGUAGAUUAAGUUACUUUAGGGAUAACAGCACAAUUUUUCCAUAAAGAUCUUACUGAAGGAAAAUCUUGUGACCUCGAUGUUGAAUUGAAGACUUUUUUUAAGCAAAAAUAACAAAAAAGAGGUCUGUUCGACCUUUAAUUCUUC
rnacentral:rRNA from 3 species